GGGAUUGUGAUAAUGGGGAUACCUUGUGAAUGGCAUUCAAGAGGUCAGCGGUUCGAUCCCGCUUAUCUCCACCA
rnacentral:tRNA from 2 species